AAUGAACGUUGGCGGCGUGGAUUAGGCAUGCAAGUCGAGCGAGAAGCGAUCCUUCGGGAGAGUGGACAGCGGCGAACGGCGUAGUAAUAGAUAGGUAACGUGCCCCAAGGUCUGGGAUAGCCGCGGGAAACUGCGGGUAAUACCGGAUAAUCUCUUUGAGUCGAGUGGCCCAGAGAGCAAAGGUGAGAUUCCGUCUUGGGAGCGGCUUAUUGGGUAUUAGCUUGUUGGUGGGGUAACGGCCUACCAAGGCUGCGAUGCCUAGGGGGUGUUAGCGCAUGGCCCCCAGACUGGGACUGAGAACUGCCCAGACACCUACGGUGCUGCAGUCGAGAAUCUUCGGCAAUGGACGAAAGUCUGACCGAGCGACGCCGCGUGCGGGAUGAAGGCCCUUGGGUUGU
rnacentral:rRNA from 1 species